GACGAACGCUGGCGGCGUGCCUAAUACAUGCAAGUUGAGCGCUGAAGGUUGGUACUUGUACCAACUGGAUGAGCAGCGAACGGGUGAGUAACGCGUGGGGAAUCUGCCUUUGAGCGGGGGACAACAUUUGGAAACGAAUGCUAAUACCGCAUAAAAACUUUAAACACAAGUUUUAAGUUUGAAAGAUGCAAUUGCAUCACUCAAAGAUGAUCCCGCGUUGUAUUAGCUAGUUGGUGAGGUAAAGGCUCACCAAGGCGAUGAUACAUAGCCGACCUGAGAGGGCGAUCGGCCACAUUGGGACUGAGACACGGCCCAAACUCCUACGGGAGGCAGCAGUAGGGAAUCUUCGGCAAUGGACGAAAGUCUGACCGAGCAACGCCGCGUGAGGGAAGAAGGUUUUCGGAUCGUAAAACUCUGUUGGUAGAGAAGAACGUUGGUGAGAGUGGAAAGCUCAUCAAGUGACGGUAACUACCCAGAAAGGGACGGCUAACUACGUG
rnacentral:rRNA from 1 species